rnacentral:rRNA from 1 species
GACGAACGCUGGCGGCGUGCUUAACACAUGCAAGUCGAGCGAGGCCCCUCCUUCGGGAGGGUGUCCUAGCGGCGAACGGGUGAGUAACACGUGGGCAACCUGCCCUCAGCUCUGGGAUAACUCCGGGAAACCGGGGCUAAUACCGGAUACGACCUCCACGGGCAUCUGCGGAGGUGGAAAGUUUUUCGGCUGAGGAUGGGCCCGCGGCCUAUCAGCUAGUUGGUGGGGUAGUGGCCCACCAAGGCGACGACGGGUAGCCGGCCUGAGAGGGCGACCGGCCACACUGGGACUGAGACACGGCCCAGACUCCUACGGGAGGCAGCAGUGGGGAAUAUUGCGCAAUGGGCGAAAGCCUAACGCAGCGACGCCGCGUGAGGGACGAAGGCCUUCGGGUUGUAAACCUCUUUCAGCAGGGACGAAGCGAAAGUGACGGUACCUGCAGAAGAAGCACCGGCCAACUACGUG